ACGCUGGCGGCGUGCCUAACACAUGCAAGUCAACUUGACUGAAGGAGACAAUCUGACAGUAGAGUGGCGCAAGGGUGCGUAACGCGUAAGUAACUUGCCCAAGGUAAGGAAUAACGUCGAGAAAUCGGCGCUAAUACCUCAUAAUGCAGCGGAUCCGCAUGGAUAUGUUGUUAAAGGUUUACCGCCUUGGGAUAGGCUUGCGUCUGAUUAGCUAGUUGGUGUGGUAACGGCACACCAAGGCUACGAUCAGUAACUGGUCUGAGAGGAUGAUCAGUCACACUGGAACUGAGACACGGUCCAGACUCCUACGGGAGGCAGCAGUGAGGAAUAUUGGGCAAUGCUCGAAAGAGUGACCCAGCAACGCCGCGUGGAGGAUGAAGGUAUUCUAUAUCGUAAACUCCUGUGAGAGCAGACGAAAGACAGAUUAUUAAUCUGGAUGACUGUAUGCUCAGAGGAAGCCCCGGCUAACUACGUG
rnacentral:rRNA from 1 species